rnacentral:rRNA from 1 species
GGCCCUUCGGGGUACUCGAGCGGCGAACGGGUGAGUAACACGUGAGCAACCUGCCCCAGGCUUUGGGAUAACCCCGGGAAACCGGGGCUAAUACCGAAUAUGACCUCUGACCGCAUGGUUGGUGGUGGAAAGUUUUUCGGCUUGGGAUGGGCUCGCGGCCUAUCAGCUUGUUGGUGGGGUGAUGGCCUACCAAGGCGACGACGGGUAGCCGGCCUGAGAGGGCGACCGGCCACACUGGGACUGAGACACGGCCCAGACUCCUACGGGAGGCAGCAGUGGGGAAUAUUGCACAAUGGGCGGAAGCCUGAUGCAGCGACGCCGCGUGAGGGAUGACGGCCUUCGGGUUGUAAACCUCUUUCAGCAGGGACGAAGCGUAAGUGACGGUACCUGCAGAAGAAGCGCCGGCCAACUACGUGCCAGCAGCCGCGGUAAGACGUAGGGCGCGAGCGUUGUCCGGAUUUAUUGGGCGUAAAGAGCUCGUAGGCGGCUUGUCGCGUCGACCGUGAAAACUUGGGGCUCAACCCCAAGCCUGCGGUCGAUACGGGCAGGCUAGAGUUCGGUAGGGGAGACUGGAAUUCCUGGUGUAGCGGUGAAAUGCGCAGAUAUCAGAGGAACACCGGUGGCGAAAGCGGGUCUCUGGGCCGAUACUGACGCUGAGGAGCGAAAGCGUGGGGAGCGAACAGGAUUAGAUACCCUGGUAGUCCACGCUGUAAACGUUGGGCGCUA